CGAAAGCCUGACGGAGCAAGACCGCGUGGGGGAGGAAGGCUCUAGGGUUGUAAACCCCUUUUCUUUGGGAAGAACAAAUGACGGUACCAAGGGAAUCAGCAUCGGCUAACUCCGUGCCAGCAGCCGCGGUAAUACGGAGGAGGCAAGCGUUAUCCGGAAUGAUUGGGCGGAAAGCGUCCGCAGGUGGCAAUGGAAGUCUGCUGUCAAAACCCAGGGCUCAACUCUGGUCAGGCAGUUGAAACUACAUAGCUAGAGUUCGGUAGGGGCAAAGGGAAUUCCCGGUGUAGCGGUGAAAUGCGUAGAGAUCGGGAAGAACAUCGGUGGCGAAAGCGCUUUGCUAGACCGAAACUGACACUCAGGGACGAAAGCUAGGGGAGCG
rnacentral:rRNA from 1 species